GACGGACCACACGAACGUUAUUCGGAAUUACUGGGCUUAAAGGGUGCGUAGGCUGUGCAGAAAGUUGGGUGUGAAAUCCCUCGGCUUAACCGAGGAAUUGCGCCCAAAACUACUGUGCUUGAGGAAGAUAGAGGUAAGCGGAACUUAGGGUGGAGCGGUGAAAUGCGUUGAUAUCCUAAGGAACACCGGUGGCGAAAGCGGCUUACUGGGUCUUUUCUGACGCUGAGGCACGAAAGCUAGGGUAGCGAACGGG
rnacentral:rRNA from 1 species